CCCUUAGAUGUUCUGGGCCGCACACGCGCUACACUGAAGGAGGCAGCGUGUACUCCUGGAUCGAAAGAUUUGGGUAACCCGCGAAUCUCCUUCGUGCUAGGGAUUGAGGUUUGCAAUUAUCCUUCAUGAACGAGGAAUUCCCAGUAAGUGCAAGUCAUAAGCUUGCGCUGACUACGUCCCUGCCCUUUGUACACACCGCCCGUCGCUACUACCGAUUGGAUCAUUUGGUGAGGCCCACGGACUGUCGCGCUUCCUUCCUUGUGUUGGUUGCGCUUCUUGGGAAGUGGUACAAACCUGAUGAUCUAGAGGAAGUAAAAGUCGUAACA
rnacentral:rRNA from 1 species